rnacentral:rRNA from 1 species
CCCUUAGAUGUUCUGGGCCGCACGCGCGCUACACUGAUGCAUUCAACGAGCCUAUCCUUGAUCGACAGGUCCGGGUAAUCUUUGAAUCUGCAUCGUGACGGGGAUAGAUUAUUGCAAUUAUUAAUCUUCAACGAGGAAUGCCUAGUAGGCGCAAGUCAUCAGCUUGCGUCGAUUACGUCCCUGCCCUUUGUACACACCGCCCGUCGCUCCUACCGAUUGGGUGUGCUGGUGAAAUGUUCGGAUCGGCCGUUUGUCGCGGUUUCCGCGGCUCGUGGCUGAGAAGUUCAUUAAACCCUCCCACCUAGAGGAAGGAGAAGUCGUAACA